rnacentral:rRNA from 1 species
ACGUAGGGUGCAAGCGUUAAUCGGAAUUACUGGGCGUAAAGCGUGCGCAGGCGGUGAUGUAAGACAGUCGUGAAAUCCCCGGGCUCAACCUGGGAAUUGCGAUUGUGACUGCAUCGCUGGAGUGCGGCAGAGGGGGAUGGAAUUCCGCGUGUAGCAGUGAAAUGCGUAGAUAUGCGGAGGAACACCGAUGGCGAAGGCAAUCCCCUGGGCCUGCACUGACGCUCAUGCACGAAAGCGUGGGGAGCAAACAGG